rnacentral:rRNA from 1 species
UUUACAAGUACCCGUGAGGGAAAGUUGAAAAGAACUUUGAAGAGAGAGUUCAGAAAGGGCGUGAAACCGCUUAGAAUAAACGGACGGACCCGUCUGAGGCCCGUCGGAAUCAGUCGAAUCGACGCGUGAAUACGAGUGCGACGCGAUACGGAACGCAAGUCCCGUCGCCUCGUCGAGUCGAGUAACGCUCGUUCGAUGCAUUUCCGACGGGUAAGCGCCGCGACCGACGUUCUAGGCUAGCGAAACCUCGGGAUUGAGGGCGAGCGCGUUCGCGUGUCUCGUAACCAGUCCCGGUGGUCGGAUAGAAUUCGCUAGACCGUAGCGUCGAGAGAGAGAGUAAAAGUACGAACGUCGACGGAUUAUUAGCGUUCGCCUAAUGCGACCAAAGUGCGUCCGGCCUAUCGUCACCUGCUCGCAGGUUUCGGUUAGCGUUCGGUGCGUAUCGGAGGUAGCGGGCGACGUUUCGACGUUCGGGCGUCCGCGGCGUCCGAGUCGGUCACCCGUCCGACCCGUCUUGAAACACGGACCAAGGAGUCUAACGUACGCGCAAGCUAAUAGGUGGAAAACCUAUAAGCGCAAUAAAAGUAAAAGUCGUCUCGGACGGCUUAGGUACGAUCCCGGGGAUAGAAAAUUCCUCGGGCGCAGUACCGUCCCGUCCCGACCGCUCGUCGGUAGGGCGGAGAUAGAGUGCAUACGUUGGGACCCGAAAGAUGGUGAACUAUGCCUGAGCAGAGCGAAGCCAGAGGAAACUCUGGUGGAGGUUCGUAGCGGUGCCUGACGGGCUAAUCGAUCGUCAGACUUGAGUAUAGGGGCGAAAUACUAAUCCAACCAUCUAGUAGCUGGUUCCUUCCGAGGA